UUUGGGUUAUGGAUUUGCGUUUUGAGGAUUUGGGCGCAGAAGUUAUGAAGAGUUUAAUUAUUUGUUAUUGAGAUGCUCUGUAUUGCUUUAGAUUAUUAUUUUUGUACCCUCGCCUUUAUCUUGAUAUAUUCUGUGAGAGGGAUAGGAAUUGUACUGGAUAAUGUUUGUAAUAUUAUUUAUAUAUAUGUAUGUAUAUAUAUAUGGAUGUACUCUUUAUGAGUUUCUGUAAGUUGUAUGGUAUGUAUGGACGUACGUUGUAUGGCGAAAGUAUUUUUGGGAAUGGUAUUGCGGUUUAAAGUUUUUAAA